AACGAACGCUGGCGGCAUGCCUAACACAUGCGAGUCGAACGAGACCUUCGGGUCUAGUGGCGCACGGGUGCGUAACGCGUGGGAACCUGCCCUUAGGUUCGGAAUAACUCCCCGAAAGGGGUGCUAAUACCGGAUAAUGUCUUCGGACCAAAGAUUUAUCGCCUUUGGAUGGGCCCGCGUUGGAUUAGCUAGUUGGUAGGGUAAAAGCCUACCAAGGCGACGAUCCAUAGCUGGUCUGAGAGGAUGAUCAGCCACACUGGGACUGAGACACGGCCCAGACUCCUACGGGAGGCAGCAGUGGGGAAUAUUGGACAAUGGGCGAAAGCCUGAUCCAGCAAUGCCGCGUGAGUGAUGAAGGCCUUAGGGUUGUAAAGCUCUUUUACCCGGGAUAAUAAUGACAGUACCGGGAGAAUAAGCUCCGGCUAACUCCGUG
rnacentral:rRNA from 1 species